AGAGUUUGAUCCUGGCUCAGGAUGAACGCUAGCGGCAGGCUUAACACAUGCAAGUCGAGGGGCAGCGCGGGGUAGCAAUACCCUGGCGGCGACCGGCGGAAGGGUGCGUAACACGUGAGCGACUUGCCCGUCACAGGGAGAUAACCGGCGGAAACGGCGACUAAUAUCCCAUAUGAUCCGAUGCUGCAUGGCAUUGGAUUGAAAGAUUCAUCGGUGACGGAUAGGCUCGCGGGACAUUAGCUGGACGGCGGGGCAACGGCCCACCGUGGCGACGAUGUCUAGGGGUUCUGAGAGGAAGAUCCCCCACACUGGAACUGAGACACGGUCCAGACUCCUACGGGAGGCAGCAGUGAGGAAUAUUGGUCAAUGGGCGGAAGCCUGAACCAGCCAUGCCGCGUGAAGGAAUAAGGCCCUAUGGGUCGUAAACUUCUUUAGACGCAGAGCAAUAAGGGUCUCGCGAGGCCCGAUGAGAGUAUGCGUAGAAUAAGCAUCGGCUAACUCCGUGCCAGCAGCCGCGGUAAUACGGGGGAUGCGAGCGUUAUCCGGAUUUAUUGGGUUUAAAGGGUGCGUAGGCGGCAAGGUAAGUCAGCGGUGAAAGACCAGGGCUCAACUCUGGAAGUGCCGUUGAUACUGUCUGGCUAGAAUGAUUCCGCCGUGGGAGGAAUGAGUAGUGUAGCGGUGAAAUGCAUAGAUAUUACUCAGAACACCGAUUGCGAAGGCAUCUCACGAGGGGUUCAUUGACGCUGAGGCACGAAAGCGUGGGGAUCGAACAGGAUUAGAUACCCUGGUAGUCCACGCAGUAAACGAUGAUGGCUAACUGUCGGGCCUUAUGGGUUCGGCGGCCAAGCGAAAGCGAUAAGCCAUCCACCUGGGGAGUACGACCGCAAGGUUGAAACUCAAAGGAAUUGACGGGGGCCCGCACAAGCGGAGGAACAUGUGGUUUAAUUCGAUGAUACGCGAGGAACCUUACCCAGGCUCGAACGGCAUCUGAAUUGUCCAGAGAUGGACAAGUCUUCGGACAGAUGUCGAGGUGCUGCAUGGUUGUCGUCAGCUCGUGCCGUGAGGGGU
rnacentral:rRNA from 1 species